rnacentral:lncRNA from 1 species
CCUAUCGUCAUGCAGCACCUUCAGGAUUCCUCGACCAGCUACCGUCCUGUAGCAUCUCAAAUACAGUCUGCUCAGUGAGAUAAGAUUCCGUCUGAAAUCAGAUAUGUAUCAGACCUCCCUCAAUCUCCUCACUACACCAUCAUGUGUCCUCCAGCUGACCGUUUCGAUGCCUCUGAUCGCAUAGCUUGAUCCAUUCGGCAGAUAAACAAUACCCUCACUGUGCUCC